CGGCGCGAGUUUUUUUUGCUUGUUUACCGCGACUGACGACUCGUUUAAUUAAGCUUCUCCCCCCCUUCCAGCGGGAGGUUCCUACUUCAUGAUCAGCCGCUCCUUGGGUCCAGAGUUUGGGGGGCGGUAGGCCUGUGCUUCUACUUGGGCACAACCUUCGCUGGAGCCAUGUACAUCCUGGGAGCUGUCGAGAUCCUUCUGGUGUUUGGCCACGGGAAAGAUGACUGGGAACCUACGUGGGCCCUGCUGCUGACAGUUCUGAUAGCUGGAGGGGGGGGGCACAGAGUCAGCCCCAUCCCUCACCCCACCCCAGUCCAAGCAAACUUUAGAUGAUCUCUCACAUGAAUUUUCAUUUCUGCCCCCCACCAUCCCACCUUGUGUGUGUGUGGGUGUGGGUGUGGUGUGGUGUGGUGUGGGGGGGGGAAUUCCUCACCCCGGCCCAGCCCAACCCAACCCCACAUCGACAGCCCAAAAGGACGAAGGCAAGGAAGGCAGCAGGUCCGGAUAGAAUCUGCUCCAGACUGCUGCAGGACUGUACAGAACAGCUUUGUCAGUGACAUCAUAUACCUGUGAGGACGCUGAUGAUGGAGCAAAGGUCUCAGAUGCUGAGACAGAUGCGACUGUCUAAAUCUGAUCGGCACAGAGAGGACUAUGCAUCUCUUUAAGCAGAGACCAAGACCAGAGUCAGCCCCAUCCCUCACCCCACCCCACUCCAAACAAACUUUAGAUAAUCUCUCACAUGGAUUUUCAUUUCUGCCCCCCACCAUCCCACCUGGUGGGGGGC